CAAAAAACAAUGAUGAGACGAGUAACUUAUAAAAGCUUUUUCAGAGAGAAGAUGCAGUGGUGGGAGCAUCUUUAAAGACUAUAAGUGAAGACUACCUCGGAGUGAUUGUAAAACAAUUCGGUGACCCCGUUAUCGUCAGUAAAGCGAGUGACUUUAACUUUGGUAAGUUUAAGCAUGAAUGAAUAGUUCUUUAUAGGGAGGAAGCAUUCAUAUAACUUAGCCAAGCAAAGUAACAAGGGUGGAACCGCGGGAAUACAUAUCCCCGUCCCUUUU
rnacentral:ncRNA from 1 species